rnacentral:tRNA from 1 species
GUCCCUGUAGCGCAAUGGAUAGCGCGUUGGAAUUCUAAUCCAAAGGUCGUGGGCUCGAAUCUCACCUGGGGUG